UACGUAGGGGGCUAGCGUUGUCCGGAUUUAUUGGGCGUAAAGAGCGUGUAGGCGGCCAGGUAGGUCUGCUGUGAAAACUCGAGGCUCAACCUCGAGACGUCGGCGGAAACCAUCUGGCUAGAGUCCGGAAGAGGAGAGUGGAAUUCCUGGUGUAGCGGUGAAAUGCGUAGAUAUGUGGAAGAACACCAGUGGUGAAGACGGUUUUCUGUGCCAAAUCCAGACGCUGAAGCGCGAAAGCUAGGGGAGCAAACAGG
rnacentral:rRNA from 1 species